AAGAGCUUAAGUUAAACAAACUAAAAGACUUCAAACCUUUCAAUAUGAGUACAACUCUCUUAGCUCUUA
rnacentral:tRNA from 1 species